CAGCUGAAUUGGAGAUUGUUCUCUGGAUUCCUUCUUUCCUGUUUCAAAAGACAGUGAUUUGUGUAUCAAGUUCAAGUGACACCUUUAGAUUCUGGUAAGAAUUGCUUUUUGUUCAGUGUGUUAGGAACAACCCUAAACAGAAGGCUUACAGUAAUGCAGCUAUGAGCAAAAUUGUAUGGUUUUCAGCAGACACCUAGCAAAGAGGAUAUACUACAUACUCUAGGCUUAGGAUGUUCUGUUAUGUAAACUUGUCACUGAAUCUGACUUUCACACAUGGCAAAAAAGAGGACUUGACUGUGGGAAAAGUGCCUUGUACCUCUACAAGCUCAGUGUAACUGGGAGGUUGGGUAUUUGGGAAGGAGGCUAAGAAAGGCAGGGCCAAGAGAAUGGUGGCCAGGAGCAGCUGAGAUGGUUGAGGUGUUGAACCUGAAGGCAUGCUUGGUUAGCAGCUCUGACGAUUUGGUGGCAUUUCUAUUAGUAGGGCAAAAACACACAAUGCAACUUUGAUGACGCUGGUACUCAGUAGAUGUGCCAUUGUCUUUCUUUUUAGUGGCCCAAACCUGAAUUUCCAAUAUUUCCUGUGGAGAUGGAUUCCUUUUCAGUAGGCCACCACCUGUCCUUUUAUGUUACAACAUGACAGAUGCUAGCCUUGUCUGAAGAGAAAUGGUAGAUUAGGUGGACUGAAGUCACUGAAAAUCACUAGAAGACUGAACAGAACUAUGUGGAUGUCACUGAAAUGGAGUUUCUGGUGUGGGAGCUUAUUUUAGUGGACAGUAAUAUCAGUGAGAAUCCCAAUUUGAUAGUUAAUCUCCAGGGGUGAACAAAUAUACCUUAUCACUCCUUAUCAACAGCUCUACCACAGUCUUCAUACCCUAUGCUGGAAUAUAGUUUAGCCUUCUUAUUUUUCCCAGUGGAGUGUUUCCUGUACAUGAAGAGAACAGUCAUUCCUCAUCUCAACCAGAAGAAUCUCAUCCCCUUUCCCCUCUCUUCAACAGUGCACAUUAUUCUCACCUAACUGCUCUGCCAUUUGCCAUCGCAGGAGGUAGAAGUUUAGGCUUGGGUGGGAGAGGAGGGUAUUGGAGCGGUCGCCGAUCUCCUGCUGUGGCAUUCUUGGAUAUGUCUGCCUGCUUCCCUCUGUGGGCUCCCUGCAGUGAAAGCCUCCUGUAGUCAUCUCUGGCCUGCCGUGCGAGAGAGCGUCUCUUCUCAUCCGCUGCCUUGGAUUUCCGCACUGGAACAGAAAAGCAGUCAUACAGGAGCAAACAAGCAGGAGACUGGGAAGGCAGAAAAACUGCUGAAAUGACCACAAAUGAAUCCUCCAAAGGAUUUGAAAAUCCUGCAGGGCAUUGCAAAGAGAAGGGAGUGUUGCUGUAACUGUUCUGUGGGGUAGAGAACUUGGCUGGAUAUUAUUUUGUUUGUUUUUUUUCUGAGUAACCAGCUCUCCAGCCUGAGCUAGGCUAGUGCUUUCUGUGCUUUUGUAAACAAAUUCAAUUUUUUAAUUAGAAAAACAAAAGCCUUGGCCUGAAAUGGAGACAAAUGAUAGUACAGCAUUGCCAUCUACUGAACUGUAGGGGAGAAGCUAGGAAAAAAAAGCGUCAAGUUUGCCUUCAAUUUUCCUCCUCUCCAGGAAAGGAAGACGUGAGAAGCAGAACUUUUCAAUUUUUUCUGUGUACUAAGCUUGUGACCCUUUAUUCCAGUCUCUGAGAAAGCUGCACAGCAAGAUUCCCUCAAAAGGAAUCAAGUUGAAAUAUCUUUUUAACUCCGGCUAUGCUGAAAAAUCACCCUUGAGGUAUGUGGUUACUAUGAGAGAUCCUAGAAGGAAAUGUAGUGGUUGUAGCAACUUAAGUAGAGAGUUCAGGACAUACUUGGC
rnacentral:lncRNA from 1 species